CAUUACAAGUGAGGCUACCGAACGUUGGAAACAGCGAUUAGGAGCUUACACCCACCCGUGUUUACAUACUAUUGUUGCUUUGGCGGGCCGUGGCCUCCACUGCGGGCUCUGCUCGUGUGUGCCCGCCAGAGAACCAAACUCUGAAUGUUAGUGAUGUCUGAGUACUAUCUAAUAGUUAAAACUUUCAACAACGGAUCUCUUGGUUCUGGCAUCGAUGAAGAACGCAGCGAAAUGCGAUAAGUAAUGUGAAUUGCAGAAUUCAGUGAAUCAUCGAAUCUUUGAACGCACAUUGCGCCCUGUGGUAUUCCGCAGGGCAUGCCUGUUCGAGCGUCAUUUAACCACUCACGCCUAGCGUGGUAUUGGGGCACGCGGUCUCCGCGGCCCUCAAAAUUAGUGGCGGCGCCGGUGGGCUCUAAGCGUAGUACAUACUCCCGCUAUAGAGUUCCCCCCGGUGGCUCGCCAGAACCCCCAAUUUUUUACAGGUUG
rnacentral:rRNA from 1 species